rnacentral:rRNA from 1 species
CACAUAAAAACCAAGCGUUGUCCGGAUUUAUUGAGCGUAAAGAGCUCGUAGGCGGUUCAGUCAGUCGGGUGUGAAAACUUCGGGCUUAACUCGAGGCAUGCAUCCGAUACUGCUGUGACUUGAGUCCGAUAGAGGAGUGGGGAAUUCCUGGUGUAGCGGUGAAAUGCGCAGAUAUCAGGAGGAACACCGGUGGCGAAGGCGCCACUCUGGGCCGGUACUGACGCUGAGGAACGAAAGCAUGGGUAGCAAACAGG